GGUUAAGUGAAUAAGGGCGCACGGUGGAUGCCUUGGCACUAGGAGCCGAUGAAGGACGGGACUAACACCGAUAUGCUUUGGGGAGCUGUACGUAAGCUAUGAUCCAGAGAUUUCCGAAUGGGGGAACCCAGCAUCUUUAAUAGGAUGUUACGAUUGUGUGAAUACAUAGCACAUUCGAGGUAGACGCAGAGAACUGAAACAUCUAAGUACCUGCAGGAAGAGAAAGAAAAUUCGAUUCCCUGAGUAGCGGCGAGCGAAACGGGAAAAGCCCAAACCAGCAAGCUUGCUUGUUGGGGUUGUAGGACUCCAAUAUGGUAGUUCUUUCAGAUAGUCGAAUGACUUGGAAAAGUCAGUCAAAGAGGGUAAAAACCCCGUAGACGAAAUGUGGAAGACACCUAGGAGGAUCCUGAGUACGGCGGAACACGAGAAAUUCCGUCGGAAUCCGGGAGGACCAUCUCCCAAGGCUAAAUACUCCCUAGUGACCGAUAGUGAACCAGUACCGUGAGGGAAAGGUGAAAAGCACCCCGGAAGGGGAGUGAAAUAGAACCUGAAACCGUGUGCCUACAACAAGUCAAAGCCCGUUAAUGGGUGAUGGCGUGCCUUUUGUAGAAUGAACCGGCGAGUUACGAUUGCAUGCGAGGUUAAGUUGAAGAGACGGAGCCGCAGCGAAAGCGAGUCUGAAUAGGGCGUUUGAGUAUGUAGUCGUAGACCCGAAACCAUGUGAUCUACCCAUGUCCAGGUUGAAGGUGCGGUAAAACGCACUGGAGGACCGAACCCACGUACGUUGAAAAGUGCGGGGAUGAGGUGUGGGUAGCGGAGAAAUUCCAAACGAACUUGGAGAUAGCUGGUUCUCUCCGAAAUAGCUUUAGGGCUAGCCUCGGAAUUGAGAAUGAUGGAGGUAGAGCACUGUUUGGACUAGGGGCCCAUCUCGGGUUACCGAAUUCAGAUAAACUCCGAAUGCCAUUCAUUCAUAUCCGGGAGUCAGACUGUGAGUGAUAAGAUCCAUAGUCGAAAGGGAAACAGCCCAGACCACCAGCUAAGGUCCCAAAAUAUAUGUUAAGUGGAAAAGGAUGUGGGGUUGCACAGACAACUAGGAUGUUGGCUUAGAAGCAGCCAUCAUUUAAAGAGUGCGUAAUAGCUCACUAGUCGAGUGACCCUGCGCCGAAAAUGUACCGGGGCUAAACAUAUUACCGAAGCUGUGGAGUACACCUUUAGGUGUAUUGGUAGGAGAGCGUUCUAAGGGCGUUGAAGGCAGAUCGUGAGGACUGCUGGAGCGCUUAGAAGUGAGAAUGCCGGUAUGAGUAGCGAAAGACAGGUGAGAAUCCUGUCCACCGAAUGACUAAGGUUUCCUGGGGAAGGCUCGUCCGCCCAGGGUUAGUCGGGACCUAAGCCGAGGCCGACAGGCGUAGGCGAUGGAUAACAGGUUGAUAUUCCUGUACCCGUUGUUUUUGUUUGAGCAAUGGAGGGACGCAGGAGGCUAAGGAAUGCAGACGAUCGGAAAUGUCUGUCCAAGCAGUAAGUCUGAAGAGGAGUCAAAUGCUUCUUUUCUUAAGGACAAGCUGUGAUGGGGAGGGAAAUAAUAGUACCGAAGUUCCUGAUGUCACACUGCCGAGAAAAGCUUCUAGUGAGAAAACAGCGGCCCGUACCGCAAACCGACACAGGUAGUCGAGGAGAGAAUCCUAAGGUGAGCGAGAGAACUCUCGUUAAGGAACUCGGCAAAAUGACCCCGUAACUUCGGGAGAAGGGGUGCUGAUCAUACGAUCAGCCGCAGUGAAUAGGCCCAAGCGACUGUUUAUCAAAAACACAGGUCUCUGCAAAAUCGUAAGAUGAAGUAUAGGGGCUGACGCCUGCCCGGUGCUGGAAGGUUAAGAGGAGUGCUUAGCGCAAGCGAAGGUACGAAUUGAAGCCCCAGUAAACGGCGGCCGUAACUAUAACGGUCCUAAGGUAGCGAAAUUCCUUGUCGGGUAAGUUCCGACCCGCACGAAAGGCGUAACGAUUUGGGCACUGUCUCAACGAGAGACUCGGUGAAAUUUUAGUACCUGUGAAGAUGCAGGUUACCCGCGACAGGACGGAAAGACCCCAUGGAGCUUUACUGUAGUUUGAUAUUGAGUGUCUGUACCGCAUGUACAGGAUAGGUAGGAGCCGUAGAAAUCGGAACGCUAGUUUCGAUGGAGGCGCUGGUGGGAUACUACCCCUGCGUUAUGGCCACUCUAACCCGCACCACUAAUCGUGGUGGGAGACAGUGUCAGAUGGGCAGUUUGACUGGGGCGGUCGCCUCCUAAAAGGUAACGGAGGCGCCCAAAGGUUCCCUCAGAAUGGUUGGAAAUCAUUCGAAGAGUGUAAAGGCAGAAGGGAGCUUGACUGCGAGACCAACAAGUCGAGCAGGGACGAAAGUCGGGCUUAGUGAUCCGGUGGUUCCGCAUGGAAGGGCCAUCGCUCAACGGAUAAAAGCUACCCUGGGGAUAACAGGCUUAUCUCCCCCAAGAGUCCACAUCGACGGGGAGGUUUGGCACCUCGAUGUCGGCUCGUCGCAUCCUGGGGCUGUAGUCGGUCCCAAGGGUUGGGCUGUUCGCCCAUUAAAGCGGCACGCGAGCUGGGUUCAGAACGUCGUGAGACAGUUCGGUCCCUAUCCGUCGCGGGCGUUGGAAAUUUGAGAGGAGCUGUCCUUAGUACGAGAGGACCGGGAUGGACUUACCGCUGGUGUACCAGUUGUUCUGCCAAGGGCAUUGCUGGGUAGCUAUGUAGGGAAGGGAUAAACGCUGAAAGCAUCUAAGUGUGAAGCCCACCUCAAGAUGAGAUUUCCCAUUUCUUUAAGAAAGUAAGAUCCCUGAGAGAUGAUCAGGUAGAUAGGUCAGGAGUGGAAGUACAGUGAUGUAUGGAGCGGACUGAUACUAAUCGAUCGAGGACUUAACCAA
rnacentral:rRNA from 1 species